UGCGUAGGCGGUCCUGUAAGUAUGGUGUGAAAUCUCCCGGCUUAACCGGGAGGGUGCGCUAUAGACUGCGGGACUAGAGUGUGGGAGAGGAAAGUGGAAUUCCUGGUGUAGCGGUGAAAUGCGUAGAUAUCAGGAGGAACACCGGCGGUGUAAACGGCUUUCUGGACCAUAACUGACGCUGAGGCACGAAAGCGUGGGUAGCAAACAGGAUUAGAUACCCUGGUAGUCCACGCCCUAAACGAUGCAUAUUUGGUGUGGGCCAUUCAGUUGGUCCGUGCCGGAGCUAACGCGUUAAAUAUGCCGCCUGGGGAGUACAGUCGCAAGGCUGAA
rnacentral:rRNA from 1 species